rnacentral:rRNA from 1 species
GACGUAGGGUCCGAGCGUUGUCCGGAGUUACUGGGCGUAAAGGGCGCGUAGGCGGUUCGGUAAGUCCGCUGUGAAAGUCGGGGGCUCAACCCUCGGAUGCCGGUGGAUACUGUCGGGCUUGAGUACGGAAGAGGCGAGUGGAAUUCCUGGUGUAGCGGUGAAAUGCGCAGAUAUCAGGAGGAACACCAAUUGCGAAGGCAGCUCGCUGGGACGUUACUGACGCUGAGACGCGAAAGCGUGGGGAGCAAACAGG